rnacentral:lncRNA from 1 species
CUGUCACACAGCCCAGAGUAUCCUGAGCUUUGGAACUGGCCCCAAUGCUGCCUUGCUGAGGAUUACCUUUCAUGGUACUAGAAGUCACCACACAAGCUUCCAAAGGAGUUGUGUGGCAUCUAGGUUGUUUCCAAGUUCUGCCUAUAAUGAAUAAUGUUACUAUGAACAAAGUUGAGCAAAUGUCCUUGUGGUAUGAGUGUGACUCCUUUGGGUGUAUGCCUAAAAGUGGUAUAGCAGGGUCUUGAGGUAGGUUGAUUCCUAAUUUUCUGAGAAAUUGCCAUACUGACUUCCAUAGCAGCUGUACUAGUUUGCACUCCCACCAGCAAUGAAGUGUCUUGUCUUUAUUCAAUCCUCAGAUUCCCUUGCAGGAACCCACGAGAAGUUGUAGUGCUGGUGUUACAACAAAUGGAGGUUCCACCGAGAUUGGGAAAGAAGGGUAAACACUGAAGGAUCACCUAGGAAGGCUGGCCAGCAUUAAGUGACACUCCCUGGGGAGAAGUGCUUAAUUGUUCCCUCCAGGAAUGCCGCUUGAGAAACUGUUGCAAUGGUGGAAUAUCAGCCUUGGUGGUUCCUGUUCCUGGUAUCAAGCCUACACCAGUGGAACAACGGGAGAGAACCAGCUCAUCCUUACAUGGUUCGAGAGAGAUUUUUGACAUCACGGCAGCCAGCCGUUGUGGCCACUGAUGUGACAGCUAUAGUUUCUGGCUUGGCUGCCUCCCAGUCAGUUGCCACAGCAGGCACACUGGUUAAGUUCCCAGGGG